UCCUGACCAAGACCAACAGGAUGCCA
rnacentral:piRNA from 1 species